rnacentral:piRNA from 1 species
UCCAGAAUUUUCCUGUUGUAAGUGUGGAGU